UCCCCUUCCCCUUCCCCUGCUUCUCCUUCCCCUUCCCCCUUCUCUGCUUCUCCUUCCCCUUCUCUGCUUCUCCUUCCCCUUCUCUGCUUCUACCAUCGCCAUCGUCGCCCCUGCUUCUUCCAUCGCCGCUUCUGAGAUGAAGAACGUAGUCUCAAGGUUAUUCCAUAUUGAUUCGUCCCCCAUCCACCCACACAAUCAGAAGCUUUUGGUUGCCCUAAUUUGAAGAAAUCGUUCAACGAUUCUGCUUAAUUCAAGUUUCCCAGGUAAUACACUUUCUACAUGUGAUUUAAUUUUUGUUUCAAUUUAUUUUCGAUUUAAAAUUCAAGUUCAUAGGGUCGAAUCCAUUCAAGUUUAAUUGGAUUUGUUCCCAUUUCCCCACUCUUCCUUCCCUCACAUUCGUUCUUCUCUGGCGAGCAACAUUGAGGAAAAAUCAUAACACCUGAAACGGAGAAAUCAACACCUUAAUCAGCAAGGGAGAUGUGGCAAACAUGGAAAAGUCCUGGUAUUAUUGCUUGUAGUACUUUGGUAGAAGGUCUUAGGACAUCUGGAAACAUAGAAGAUGAAUUGAGGCUCGAUGUCAAGAUCUAAAAGAGGGUGUUCUGUUGGAUAGUGUGACUUUUAAGUAUCUUCUUCAAGAUGAUACUCGUGUGGGAAGACCUGUUGAUGCUGAUCAAUUAAGGUUGUUGGCUUCCAACAAAGGUUUAGAUGUUGAUGUUGUAACCUACAACAUAUUAGUUGCUGGAACGGAAUUUCUGUUAGUGAAAAUAAUGAUGUGGCUCCCUCACCAUAGAGCUUUGACAACUGUCACUACUCAUCAUCAUUGAUGAUAGACCUUCAAUGCGGCAAACUUUCUAAAUAAUGAGAACCCUUUAACAUGUUCUCAUCUAGUAUGAAGAAAGGGAUUGCACAGCAAGUGACAUUGGAACAAAUUUUUGAAGGUCUCGGUGAGCUGUCAGCCUACUUUUCUGUAAGGCUCAAUACUCAUCAGGGGAUAACUGAUGGUCUGUUCAAGCAAUAAUAUUGCACAGUGCUACAGUGGAUGUCGAGAGUGAGCAGAUCAAAGAUAGUGGGAUGCCUUGGUUGUGGUUCAGUCAUACAAUCCCAGACCUAAAGUUCCGCAUAGCAGUAUCUCAAUAAGUGAUUUGGACCUUUGCUUAUCGAAAGCUUUGCUGCUGCUCAAAACUCUGCCUCAAUCCAAAUGCCACGUGUCGGGUAUCAAGAUGGAUCAGUCGAUCAGAUCGAGCAAUUUGGUAUUCUAUUGAGCGUCUUUUGCGAAAAUAUUCCUCGAUAUAUGGCAUUAAGAUUUACGUGUAUUAUUGCAGGAAUCCUUCACGAUAGUGAAAUGUAUUUCCAGUCAGUGCCUGAAUGUAGUAUUUCCGGUCAGUGCAAUAUAAGAAUGAUGAAUCUCAAUGGUCAGAUUUGGAUUUGUAUCUUGAAGAGCCGGUCUUACCACAGAUGUAGAACUUCAGCGUGUUGCACUGGUGGGAAGAAAACGGGUUCAAGUAUCCUCAGCUUUCUUGGAUGGCUCGUAACUUCCUGGCCAUUCCUCUGUCUGUUGUGACUCACUGUGAUGCAUACUACACUGAGCGAAGGGAAGCUAAUUGGAGAUUGUUGUCUUUGAAACCUGAACUGAUGAAUGCCUUGAAGUGCACUAGGAGCUGGAAAUUUGGUUAUGUAAGAAGUAAUAUAAGCUGCUCCGAGGCUCAAUUGAACUUUUAUGCGGCCGUUAUGAGAUCAUGAGUAGAGCUAGGACUCAGAGUUUUGAAGUAUAGUAUGCUGUAUUAUCAUGGUUAUUGUGGGAGAGUGCAGGUAGAGAAUGAUCAGAGUCUUCUGGUUUAUGGAACUUUUAAGUUAUUUUCUUGACAAUGUGAACUAUAGGUGGAAGUAAGGACUUUUGUUGAUUUUCUUUUUAAUUGGUCGGAAAUCAACUACUUGUAUCUAUUUAGCUAACGUUUUUUGCAUCGGCAUUGUUGAGAAUGAUAUGGCUUGCCAAUGUUAGUUGAUAUUGAAGCUUAUUUUUGGUAUAAUUGUAAUGUAAUCGACUUUUAUAUUUACAAUUAUAUACUAUUCAAUUUAAUUAUAUAUAUAAUUGGAUACUUUUUAAUGUGA